GCAGUCGUGGCCGAGUGGUUAAGGCGAUGGACUAGAAAUUUACUGGGGUCUCCCCGCACAGGUUCGAAUCCUGUCGACUGCG
rnacentral:tRNA from 1 species